CUCGAAUUUGUAUAGGAAAUCUAUUUAUUCACAUGGUCAUAUCUCGGCCAAUACUUGACAUUUCCCAUUGGUUUUUGAAAUUUGGAUAUUAUUUUUGAUGCUCUUUCGGAAAAAAAAAGGAGAAAAAAAAAGAAAAAAAAUAGAUAUUUUGAUGACGUCACACUUCACCACUCUAUAGCUUUAGAUCAUUUCAAUUUGAGGCAAUUGUUUUGAACUAAAACAUUUGUAAGUAUGUGAAAUGAAUUCUAGAUCCCUUUUCAUUGUGGAAGGUGGCAAACCAAGAUUUUUCAUGACACAUGUAAAAUAGGAAAUAUUUAAUGUUUCCCCAAUUUACAUUUAGAAAUGUAAACGAUCAGAUGAGUUGAUGCAAGUGAUGACAAUUGUGCACAAGAUUCAUGAAAAGUAAUGAGUGUAUCUAAAAAAGUUGAUAUCUGAUGCAUCGGCUCAAACUCCAUUGCACUUUGAUGGAGCAACAUGCUUUGAUCCUCAUGGUUGCUCAAUUAAAAGUCAAUUCUAAUCGAUGAUUUCUCUCCUCUCCCUCUCUUUCCAAUUAACCACAGCUCCGCAGUUUUGCUUUGAAUGUGAUCCACUAUACCAGGCAACACGUCCUGUAUAACAUAGACACCAUGGCUGGAAGAGAUGAUACAUGGCAUGUAACAAGAUUGAAGAUGCUCUUUCUUCAAAGACUUGUGCUGAACAAGAUACCUUGACCUGGAAGAGACGAUGUACCGUGUACAUGGCAUGCAACAAGAUACCAUAGAAGAAAGACUUGAAGAAUACCAAUGAAGAAAGACUUGAAGAAUAUUGCACAAGAUACCAUGGCAGAGAUACUUGCAGGUCAUUGAACGAGGUAAG